rnacentral:ncRNA from 1 species
CUUUUCUUACGAAAUAAGUAUCCUUUAGCUUUUUAACUUACUUGCCUAAGCUUUUGAUAUAAACAAUUUAUUUACAAAAUAAGUCUAUGCAAUAAAUAAUGACAUGGGCACCCACCUUAAGAGGUAAAUCAAUGUGCCAGCUACCGCGGUUACACAUUAUCUUUUAAUUUAUUAUCUUGUUAUUGUUAAUUUUCUAGCACAUAGCAUAAAAUAAAUGACCCAGUGAAAUGUUACUUAUUAGCCAGUCCCAAUUUUAACAGCCAAAUUUAGUUACAAAACUAGGAUCAGAUACCCUAUUAUUCUAAAUUUUAGAAACAAAGAAGUAAAGUAAAAUUUAAACUUAAUUAGGACGACGGUAGAAUUAAAUUAGAGGAGAUUGUUCUUUAAUCGAUAACCCUCGUUUAGCUCUUUUUCUAAAUUAUGUAUAUCGCCGUUGAAACUCAGCUUCAAUCUGAGUUAUUUAUUUAAACAUAUGUCAACAGGUCUAGAUACAAAUAAUGUAAAAGUAUGAAAUGAUCUACACAUAAGAAUAACUUUAAUGUCAAUACUAAAUUUAGUCAAAUUUUAUUGUCAGAGGAUUUAAAAGUAGUUUCGUCUAAGUUUCAUAACGAAAUGAAUUAUAUGUGUUCUAUGUACAUAUCGCCCGUCACCCUCCCAGGAGGUAAGUCGUAACAAAGUAGAUUCUUUGGAAAAAGAAUCUAGAUA